rnacentral:rRNA from 1 species
UACGGGAGUGGCAAGCGUUAUCCGGAAUUAUUGGGCGUAAAGCGUCCGCAGGCGGUCUGUCAAGUCUGCUGUUAAAGCGUGGAGCUUAACUCCAUUAAGGCAGUGGAAACUGACAGACUAGAGUGUGGUAGGGGCAGAGGGAAUUCCCGGUGCAGCGGUGAAAUGCGUAGAUAUCGGGAAGAACACCAGUGGCGAAGGCGCUCUGCUGGGCCAUAACUGACGCUCAUGGACGAAAGCCAGGGGAGCGAAAGGGAUUAGAUACCCCUGUAGUCCUGGCCGUAAACGAUGAACACUAGGUGUCGGGGGAAUCGACCCCCUCGGUGUCGUAGCCAACGCGUUAAGUGUUCCGCCUGGGGAGUACGCACGCAAGUGUGAAACUCAAAGGAAUUGACGGGGGCCCGCACAAGCGGUGGAGUAUGUGGUUUAAUUCGAUGCAACGCGAAGAACCUUACCAGGGCUUGACAUCCUGCGAAUCUUUUGGAAACAGAAGAGUGCCUUCGGGAACGCAGUGACAGGUGGUGCAUGGCUGUCGUCAGCUCGUGUCGUGAGAUGUUGGGUUAAGUCCCGCAACGAGCGCAACCCACGUCGUUAGUUGCCAGCAUUGAGUUGGGCACUCUAGCGAGACCGCCGGUGAUAAACCGGAGGAAGGUGUGGAUGACGUCAAGUCAUCAUGCCCCUUACAUCCUGGGCUACACACGUACUACAAUGCUACGGACAAAGGGCAGCAAACUCGCGAGAGCUAGCAAAUCCCAUAAACCGUGGCUCAGUUCAGAUCGUAGGCUGCAACUCGCCUACGUGAAGGAGGAAUCGCUAGUAAUCGCAGGUCAGCAUACUGCGGUGAAUACGUUCCCGGGCCU